CAGUAAUGAGGCUGGGGCAGUAAUGAGUCUUGGGCAGUAAUAAGUCUUGGGGCAGUAAUGAGGCUGGGCAGUAAUGAGUCUUGGGGCAGUAAUGAGGCUGGGGCAGUAAUGAGUCUUGGGGAAGUAAUGAGUCUUGGGGCUGUAAUGAGUCUUGCGGCAGUAAUAAGGCUGGGGCAGUAAUGAGUCUUGGGGCAGUAAUGAGUCUUGGGUCAUAAUGAGUCUGGGGCAGUAAUGAGUCUUGAGGCAGUAAUGAGACUGGGGCAGUAAUGAGUCUGGGGCAGUAAUGAGUCUUGGGGCAGUAAUGAGUCUGGGGCAGUAAUGAGUCUUGGGGCAGUAAUGAGUCUUGAGGCAGUAAUGAGACUGGGGCAGUAAUGAGUCUGGGGCAGUAAUGAGUCUUGG
ensembl:lncRNA